CUGAGAGUUUGAUCCUGGCUCAGAACGAACGCUGGCGGCGUGCCUAACACAUGCAAGUCGAGCGAGAAAGUCCCUUCGGGGGCGAGUAAAGCGGCGGACGGGUGAGUAAUACAUGGAUAAUCUUCCCUCGAGCCUGGGAUAACCCUGCGAAAGUGGGGCUAAUACCGGAUAAGACCACAUGACACAUGUCACGGGGUAGAAGGUGGCUUGUAUUUAUAUGAGCUAUCACUUGAGGAUGAGUCCAUGGCCUAUCAGCUAGUUGGUGAGGUAAGAGCUUACCAAGGCUAUGACGGGUAGCUGGUCUGAGAGGACGACUAGCCACACUGGGACUGAGACACGGCCCAGACUCCUACGGGAGGCAGCAGUGGGGAAUAUUGGGCAAUGGGCGAAAGCCUGACCCAGCGACGCCGCGUGGGUGAUGAAGGCCUUCGGGUUGUAAAACCCUUUCGUGCGGAAAGAAUAGUCUCGUAGCGAAUAACUACGGGAUUUGACGGUACCGCAGGAAGAAGCACCGGCUAACUCCGUGCCAGCAGCCGCGGUAAUACGGAGGGUGCAAGCGUUGUUCGGAAUUAUUGGGCGUAAAGGGCGCGUAGGUGGUUGUGAUAGUCAGAUGUGAAAUCCUUCGGCUCAACCGAAGAACUGCAUCUGAAACUUCAUAGCUCGAGUACAGGAGAGGGAAACGGAAUUCCCGGUGUAGAGGUGAAAUUCGUAGAUAUCGGGAGGAACACCAGUGGCGAAGGCGGUUUCCUGGCCUGAUACUGACGCUGAGGCGCGAAAGCGUGGGGAGCAAACAGGAUUAGAUACCCUGGUAGUCCACGCCGUAAAC
rnacentral:rRNA from 1 species